AUUGAACGCUGGCGGCAGGCUUAACACAUGCAAGUCGAGCGAGCGGCGGACGGGUGAGUAAUGUCUGGGAAACUGCCUGAUGGCGGGGGAUAACUACUGGAAACGGUAGCUAAUACCGCAUACCAUCAGAUGUGACAAGAUGGGAUUAGCUAGUAGGUGGGUUAAUGGCUCACCUAGGCGACGAUCCAUAGCUGGUCUGAGAGGAUGACCGGCCACACUGGAACGGAGACACGGUCCAGACUCCUACGGUAGGCAGCAGUGGGGAAUAUUGCGCAAUGGGCGAAAGCCUGAUGCAGCAAUGCCGCGUGUGUGAAGAAGGGCUUCGGGUUGUAAAGCACUUUCAGCGGGGAGGCGUUACUCGCAGAAGAAGCACCGGCUAACUCCGUGCCAGCAGCCGCGGUAAUAC
rnacentral:rRNA from 1 species